rnacentral:rRNA from 1 species
AGAGGGUGCGAGCGUUAAUCGGAAUUACUGGGCGUAAAGGGUGCGUAGGCGGUUUUUUAAGUUAGAUGUGAAAUCCCCGGGCUUAACCUGGGAAUUGCAUUUAAGACUGGAGAGCUAGAGUAGAGUAGAGGGAAGUGGAAUUUCCGGUGUAGCGGUGAAAUGCGUAGAUAUCGGAAAGAACAUCAGUGGCGAAGGCGGCUUCCUGGACUCAUACUGACGCUGAGGCACGAAAGCAUGGGGAGCAAACAGGAUUAGAUACCCUGGUAGUCCAAGCCGUAAACGAUGAUAACUAGAUGCUGGUAGGUUAAACUUAUCAGUAUYGAAGSUAACGCGAUAAGUUAUCCGCCUGGGGAGUACGGCC